GAUGAACGCUAGCGGCAGGCUUAAUACAUGCAAGUCGAGGGGUAGCAAGAUUGUAGCAAUACAAUUGUUGACGACCGGCAAACGGGUGCGGAACACGUACACAACCUUCCUACAAGUGGGGAAUAGCCCAGAGAAAUUUGGAUUAAUACCCCGUAACAUAGCGAUGUGGCAUCACAUUGCUAUCAUAGCUUCGGCGCUUGUUGAUGGGUGUGCGGCUGAUUAGAUAGUUGGCGGGGUAACGGCCCACCAAGUCUACGAUCAGUAGCUGAUGUGAGAGCACGAUCAGCCACACGGGCACUGAGACACGGGCCCGACUCCUACGGGAGGCAGCAGUAAGGAAUAUUGGACAAUGGACGCAAGUCUGAUCCAGCCAUGCCGCGUGAAGGAUUAAGGUCCUCUGGAUUGUAAACUUCUUUUAUAAGGGACGAAAAAAGGUCUUUCUAGAUCGUCUGACGGUACCUUAUGAAUAAGCACCGGCUAACUCCGUGCCAGCCGCCGCGGUAACAC
rnacentral:rRNA from 1 species